AUUGCCCUCUUUCUUCAGGCCUAACACAUGCAAGUCGAGCGGAUGAAGGGAGCUUGCUCCUGGAUUCAGCGGCGGACGGGUGAGUAAUGCCUAGGAAUCUGCCUGGUAGUGGGGGAUAACGUCCGGAAACGGGCGCUAAUACCGCAUACGUCCUGAGGGAGAAAGUGGGGGAUCUUCGGACCUCACGCUAUCAGAUGAGCCUAGGUCGGAUUAGCUAGUUGGUGGGGUAAAGGCCUACCAAGGCGACGAUCCGUAACUGGUCUGAGAGGAUGAUCAGUCACACUGGAACUGAGACACGGUCCAGACUCCUACGGGAGGCAGCAGUGGGGAAUAUUGGACAAUGGGCGAAAGCCUGAUCCAGCCAUGCCGCGUGUGUGAAGAAGGUCUUCGGAUUGUAAAGCACUUUAAGUUGGGAGGAAGGGCAGUAAGUUAAUACCUUGCUGUUUUGACGUUACCAACAGAAUAAGCACCGGCUAACUUCGUG
rnacentral:rRNA from 1 species